rnacentral:rRNA from 1 species
CCGGCACGGGUGAGUAACACGUAUCCAACCUGCCGUCUACUCUUGGCCAGCCUUCUGAAAGGAAGAUUAAUCCAGGAUGGCAUCAUGAGUUCACAUGUCCGCAUGAUUAAAGGUAUUCCGGUAGACGAUGGGGAUGCGUUCCAUUAGGUAGUAGGCGGGGUAACGGCCCACCUAGUCUUCGAUGGAUAGGGGUUCUGAGAGGAAGGUCCCCCACAUUGGAACUGAGACACGGUCCAA